rnacentral:rRNA from 1 species
CCUACGGGGGGCUGCAGUGAGGAAUAUUGGUCAAUGGGCGAGAGCCUGAACCAGCCAAGUCGCGUGAGGGAGUACUGCCCUAUGGGUUGUAAACCUCUUUUGUCGGGGAGCAAAAGCCGGACGUGUCCGGCUGUGAGAGUACCCGAAGAAAAAGCAUCGGCUAACUCCGUGCCAGCAGCCGCGGUAAUACGGAGGAUGCGAGCGUUAUCCGGAUUUAUUGGGGUUAAAGGGUGCUCAGGCGGAUGUUUAAGUCAGCGGUCAAAUCGUGGGGCUCAACCCCAUCCAGCCGUUGAAACUGGGGAUCUAGAGUGUGCGAGAGGUAUGCGGAAUGCGUGGUGUAGCGGUGAAAUGCAUAGAUAUCACGCAGAACCCCGAUUGCGAAGGCAGCAUACCGGUGCACAACUGACGCUCAGGCACGAAAGCGUGGGUAUCGAACAGGAUUAGAUACCCCGGUAGUC